GUCCCAUAUAUACACGUAAGCGAGGAUGAGAAAAAAAUUUUAGUCACAAUAUGUCGAAUCGAUAAUAGGAAUUUGCUAGUUAUGGGUAAAAGUUGAAAAAUUCACAUUGGAGUAUUUCGAAAGGAUAUCUAGCGUUGAUUCGUGGCACUAUAUACUACUACUAUAUGUACUAGUCGGAGCGCAAAUAAGAGCCAUUCAUCCGGGGGCAGGAAGAGAAAGUCGGUAGGUGUAUUUUAGGCGCACGAAUUUGCCGCGCUACGAGCGAGGACCCGAUGAAACGAGAGCUUGGAGCUUUCGCGAUCGACCUUUUACGACCAAUUAGGAUCUUAUAUUCAUAUACCGAAGAGACGAUGCACAAUUUCGUAUCGACAUUCAUCGUUGGGACAGAUCGCCGCUUCGGUAAUUGGUAGUAAUACUCGAAGGCACAUAGGUAAGCGCGCAUAGGUAAGCAUGGCUAGAAGAAUAAGAACGAUAAGAAUGCGCGGAUCGGGUGGGCGCAUGCACCGCCCGACGAACCCUAUACAGUAAACAGUUCGGAUCAAUAGUCGCGGCGCAACGGCAGCAGUCGCUCCUCGGCUGGACAAGGGAUCGCGCAUCGUCGGCGGCGCUGCGCAGUCGGCUUCUCUCCUAUGCGUGUGUCGUGUUACAUUGCAGCCCUAGAUAAUAUUUACAUGCUCGGGGCAGCAGCAGCAGCUUGACUAGCCAACGAGCUCUAGGAGCUGCCCUGCGCGACCGGCGGCGAGUCCAACAAUCUAACUCACUUAUCGCUGAUCGUCCGACGAAAAGCACAGCUGCCAUGACUUCCAAAGUCCUCGUCAAGCUACCCGUGGUUCCUUUCUCCCAAAAGGGCAGCUCGUGCGACGACGUGUUGCAGCGGCCCAAAAAGCAGCCCCCAGCCAGUAACAGCGCCAGCAGCAACGCCUCCGACUCGCAGCCGACCGGCGCCGAGUCGAGCGAUGCCGCCCGACCCCACGAGCACUCCCACGAGGACAAGGUGGCCCAGCUCGAGCAGAACCUCGAGUUUCUGCAGGAGCAGCAUCGGACGAUGCUCGUGGCCCUCCACAAGGAGAUCGACCAGCUCAGGCAGAGGAAUCGGGAAUUACAGUUCCAGUUGGUUUUCUCGAGCAAAGGUCCAAAAAUAUCGCCUUGCGGUAUAUCCUCGCCCGAAGAUGCAGCCACCUGCGGCAGCGCAUCCAACAAACUCACAGAAAGCCCGACGAACGUCAUGCCGUUGCAAAUGGAGCUGUUGGAGAAGGACGCGCAGGAGCUGAAGGUCUGCUUGGACGAGGAGAGAAAGCUCAACGCCAGCUUGUCGGCCACGAUAGACAAGCAACAACAAGCGUUGGACGCGUUGGCUCGGGCAGCUACGCGGAGCGCCUCGGACAAGGCCGUACAGGUCGACACGACGAUGGAGUGCCAACAGGUCGAGAUGCAGGCCCGUCUCGUGGACGCCGAGGCACUGGUCAAGCGGCUCCGCCAGGAGAACGUCGAGCAGCGCAAAGAGCUCGGCCAGCUGAAGCAACAGGUCUCCUCCUGCUCCUCCUCCACCUCGUCGUCGUCGUCGAGUCGAAACGGUCGAUCGGCGGCCGCGACGCAUCGAGUCGUCCCAGGCCCGCCGAGCAGCUACUACCCGAGCAGCGCAGCGCCGAUCGUCGCCGCCGUGGCCAUCGAUCCUCAGCAGCCCCAGCUGUCGGACGAGCAGCAGCACCAGCGGGCCUUUCCCAAAUUUCCACCGCUGCAGACUCAGAGCUACUGGCAUCGGGCCUCGCGGACCAAUCACGGCGGCUACGAUUCCGGGCCUCAGCUGCACAGCUACCAGCGCAACGCGAGGCAUCACAAUCAUCAUCAUCAGAGCCAUCAUCAGAGCCAUCAUCAGCCGGCUCAGCAACAGCAGCAACAGCAGUACCAACAUCAUCAACAACUGAAUCAAGAGUCGCGUCAUCAGCACCAUCACAAUCGCCAUCAAGCUCUGGUGCAGCAGCAGCAAUCGAAAGACGGCCAAGCCAAGUCGUCUUCGUCGUCGUCGUCGUCGGCUGCCUCGAACUCGCUACUGCCGCAGCUGCGAAACGGCGGCGUCCGCGUCGACACGAGCGGCGGCAGUUAUCCUCCCUUCUUCAGGCCUCGCCACUCCUACUACAAGGACAACAACUGUGAUCAGCCGCAAGCUCAGCAGCAAAAUCGUAGCGGAAAUAGUCGAAAGUAUCGCGGACCGAAGCCGCCGCGUCGAGAGAACGGACAUCAUCCGCAGGACGGGGGUACUCCGCGAGAUUACACUGGCAAUCAGCAGCAUCACAAUCGAGAUAAUCAACGGCAGCCGCGCAAGCCGCGAUCGUAAACGCCUCCUAUACUUUGUUCGCCUUUUUAUUCGGCUUUCGUUCCCGCUGAAACGCAUGUAAUCCUCGAGCGACUCGAUCACGCUUUUCCCACCCUUCUUUUGGCGCGCUUCGACCCUUUUCCGACAUUUUACCAAUUAUACCGAAAUAAACACGCGAGCUUGCGAUAAUUGGCCGCUUGUCACCAAGCCGUUUGUCUAAUUUUCCCUUAAAACCGCGAGACCAUUGCGCGUUAUCGAACUUUGUGAAAACUGUCUUGCUGCAUCGCCACCGACACCUACCGACGAUUCGAUAUAUCGACAUUUUUUACAGUGAGCUUAUACACACAAAUAACUAACAAAGUAAAACCGUACUUUAUCUAACUCUUCAAUCUCUUCUAUACAAAAGCCACAUGAAUAUGAAUGUUUUUUAAUAAUACAAAACAAAACUAAUUCAUUCUAAUAAAAGUAUGGCAUACGCGUACGAUGCAAAAAUAAUAAUUAUAAUAAUAUUAAAAUUAAACUAGAAACACGAGGGACCUUAUUAUUCAAUUAUACUGAACUUCGACACUUAUGAUAUUAACAUCGUCUCUUCGAGAUAUCUUAUAAAUGAGUCACCGCCACGAAUAACGACAUCUUCGGCUGUGUGUUGCUGUGCGCGCGGCGAGCUGCAGCGUAGGAGGCUUACUGCUGUGGUAGUAGUACACCUUG
rnacentral:misc_RNA from 1 species